GUAUAUUAAAGUUGUUGCAGUUAAAAAGCUCGUAGUUGGAUUUCUGGUGGGAGCGUUGGGCCGGCCCUAAGGGUCUGAGCUCAAAUGUUUUCCGCCAUCCUUGGAGGGAUGUUGUCUGGCAUUAAGUUGUCGGGCUUCCGAUCUCCAUCGUUUACUGUGAAAAAAUUAGAGUGUUCAAAGCAGGCUUAUGCCGUUGAAUACAUUAGCAUGGAAUAAUAAGAUAGGACCUUGGUACUAUUUUGUUGGUUUGCGUACCUAGGUAAUGAUUAAUAGGGACAGUUGGGGAUAUUACUAUUUCGUUGUCAGAGGUGAAAUUCUUGGAUUUACGAAAGAGUAACUACUGCGAAAGCAUUUAUCAAGGAUGUUUUCAUUAAUCAAGAACGAAAGUUAGGGGAUCGAAGAUGAUUAGAUACCAUCGUAGUCUUAACCAUAAACUAUGCCGACUAGGGAUUGGCGGUCGUUUUUCCGACUCCGUCAGCACCUUAUGAGAAAUCAAAGUCUUUGGGUUCCGGGGGGAGUAUGGUCGCAAGGCUGAAACUUAAAGAA
rnacentral:rRNA from 1 species